AUUGAACGCUGGCGGCAUGCCUAACACAUGCAAGUCGAACGGCAGCAUGGUGCAGUUUACUGUACUGAUGGCGAGUGGCGGACGGGUGAGUAACGCGUAGGAAUACACCUUUAGGACUGGGACAACUUGUGGAAACGCGAGCUAAUACCGGAUAAUAUCUGAGGAUAAAAGCUGGGGACCUUAGGGCCUGGCGUCUAGAGAGUAGCCUGCGUCUGAUUAGCUAGUUGGUGGGGUAAGGGCCUACCAAGGCGACGAUCGGUAGCUGGUCUGAGAGGAUGGGCAGCCACACUGGGACUGAGAGACGGCCCAGACUCCUACGGGAGGCAGCAGUGGGGAAUAUUGGACAAUGGGGGGAACCCUGAUCCAGCGAUGCCGCGUGAGUGAAGAAGGCCUUCGGGUUGUAAAGCUCUUUCGGCCGGGAAGAAAUCGCACAGGCUAAUACUCUGUGUGGAUGACGGUACCGGCAUAAGAAGCACCGGCUAACUACGUGCCAGCCGCCGCGGUAA
rnacentral:rRNA from 1 species